rnacentral:sRNA from 2 species
GUCCUUCAUUUACCGAAGUUGGAUCGUGAAGGGUCCGGUUCAUUUGAUCCAACUCGGGGGAACCAAUUCGGCCCUUGUGGCCUUGGGGUGAAGCUUGGGAAACCAAGCCGGGCUCUCCUGCUCGAAUCCGACAGCUGACCUCGAAGGUGCAAAAGGAGAACAC